rnacentral:misc_RNA from 1 species
UUAAGUUCAGCGGGUAUUCCUACCUGAUCCGAGGUCAAUCUCUAGGGGGGGUGCAUGAUAGCGGGUUUUACGGCUGGGCACCACUGGAGACCACCUAAGCGAGAAAAAAUUACUACGCCCGGAGUCCCAGCAGGUCCGCCACUGAAUUUGAGGGCUAGCCCUUUGACAGGCUAUGCCCCAACACCAGGCGCUGAAGCCUG